CCUACGGGAGGCAGCAGUGAGGAAUAUUGGUCAAUGGCCGGAAGGCUGAACCAGCCAUGCCGCGUGAAGGUCAGUGCCCUAUUGGCGUUAAACUUCUUUUGUUCGGGAGCAAUAAUGGUCACGUGUGGCCAGACGAGAGUACCGUCCGAAUAAGCAUCGGCUAACUCCGUGCCAGCAGCCGCGGUAAUACGGGGGAUGCAAGCGUUAUCCGGAUUUAUUGGGUUUAACGGGUGCGCGGGCGGGCCUUUAAGCCGGGGGUGAAAUCGCGGGGCUCAACCCCGCCGAGCCGUCGGAACUGGGGGCCUUGAGGGCGGCGGAGGCAUGCGGAAUGGGCGGUGUAGCGGUGAAAUGCAUAGAUAUCGCGCAGAACCCCGAUUGCGAAGGCAGCGGGCCGGGCGGCAACUGACGCUGAGGCACGAAAGCGCGGGGAUCGAACAGGAUUAGAUACCCUGUAGUC
rnacentral:rRNA from 1 species